rnacentral:rRNA from 1 species
UGAGUAACGCGUAGGCAACCUGCCGUUGAGAUGGGGACAACAUCCCGAAAGGGGUGCUAAUACCGAAUGUUGUGGAAGUCUCGCAUGGGACAUCCACUAAAGAUGACCUCUAUUUAUAAGUUAUCGCUCAACGAUGGGCCUGCGUCUGAUUAGCUAGUUGGUGGGGCAACGGCCUACCAAGGCGACGAUCAGUAGCCGGUCUGAGAGGAUGAACGGCCACAUUGGAACUGAGACACGGUCCAGACUCCUACGGGAGGCAGCAGUGGGGAAUCUUCCGCAAUGGGCGAAAGCCUGACGGAGCAACGCCGCGUGAGUGAAGAAGGCCUUCGGGUCGUAAAGCUCUGUUGAAGGGGACGAAUGUUAGUCUUAUCAACAACGAGACUAAAUGACGGUACCUUUCGAGGAAGCCACGGCUAACUACGUGCC